GGGAAUGUUAGCAGACAGUGAGUGGGGCCCCAGGGAUUCCUGUGAGCUGUGGCUCCUCGCCAGCUCUCCCCUCACUGAGCCCCGGCUCCUCAUCUUCCUACCCUCCCCUGUGCCCUGACACAUCCUCCAAAGCCAGAAUUCUGCCUCACCUCUUGUUCCUAAGAGAGCUAUAAAAAGGCAUGAUGAAUGAAUUAAAGGACUGGCUACUUGCGGUAAGAUAAGCAAAUCGUUAGCAUGGUCGAGCAGGCACAAUUUAAAGUUGAUACACUUUGUGUGGGAGGAAAGUCCACUAGCUCCUUCCUUGGGGGGAAAUUACCUUUUGAAGUCGACUGAUGCGACACAGCACAUUUUGAUCCAGCUAAAACAGAGCAAACCACAAAGUUGGUGAAAACAGAGGAACACAGCAAAUAUAAUCAAACAAGCAACCAUGAAGUCUCCCAUUCUUGUUACAAUCCAUGACGCAUACAUGACCAAAUUCAGGAGACACUGAAAGCUGACAAGCAUCUGAAGUGUCAAGCAGGUGGAAAAAGUUUCUGGCCAAAGUAAUGUCAAAAACGUCUAACGGGCAUUUGCAGUGUGCCUUUGAUGAGAGUGGCAAGAGACAGAACUGAAGCCCUAGAAACACAGCCGGACACCACACAACAGAAGGAGAGAGGCAGAGCAAAGAGAAAAUGUUAGCAUGUAUUCCUAUUUACUUCUGUAUUGUGUUACUGUGUUCCUCACAGCCAAGGAAGGCUUCCAGAGGUAAUGACAUACCUAUAGAAAUUCCAAGGGAACAAGCCAGUAAAAAGAAACAAAAACUACACACA